GCGGAUGUGGCGGAAUUGGUAGACGCACCAGUUUCAGGUACUGGCGAGUAAAAUCGUGGAGGUUCAAGUCCUCUCAUCCGCACCA
rnacentral:tRNA from 1 species